rnacentral:ncRNA from 1 species
GCGAGGUGGACUUCGCGGUCCUGCCUCGUUUUUCUCCUUCACGGGAGAGAACCCGCCGCAUUUUCUGUCUACCUUGAAAAAAUUAGAGUGCUAAAGGCAGGCUAAAACCCCGAGCCUGAAUAUUUCGUGCAUGGAAUAAGCGGGGAUGCUCUUUUCCGGAGGGCGGUCCGACCGACUGGCGACGUCGCUUUCGCUGUCGGUUUCGCCGGAGAGCUAGGAUUCGAGAGGAACGGUGGGGGGCGAGCGUACCGGGCGGGGAGAGGUGAAAUUUUGUGAUCCGCUCGGGACGACUCGAAGCGAAAGCGCUGGCCCCGGACGUCUUCCUUAAUCCAGAACGAAGGUGGGUGGAGCAAAGACGAUCAGAUACCGUCGUAGUACCGACGGUAAACGCUGCCGACCGGGCCGCGGACGAGGCUCGAGAACAGCGGUUAUGGACCCGUCCGUGGCGGCUUCGGGCAACCUGAGAGUUUACGGGUUCCGGGGGUAGUAUGGUCGCAAGGCUGAAACUUGAAGGAAUUGACGGAAGGGCACCACAAGGAGUGGAGCCUGCGGCUUAAUUUGACUCAACACGGGGCAACUUACCCGGUCCGGACAUCGUCAGGAUUGACAGACGCUCGUGCAGUUCUUUCUCGAUUCGAUGGGUGGUGGUGCAUGNCCGUUCGUGGCUGGUGAAGUGAAAAGUCUGGUUUAUUCCGCUAACGGGCGAGGCCUCGCCCUUAACUAGUCGGCUCGUGGUUCUCGAAUCGUAGUCUCCCUUCGGGGAGCAGGGAGAACAUCGGGCGAGUCGCAGCGAUCGUCGCUACUUCUUAGGGGGAUCCCGAGCAAGCUUAAGCUAGGUGAGAGAGAUCAAUAACAGGUCAGUGAUGCCCUUAGAUGUCCGGGGCCGCACGCGCGCUACACUGAAGACGAAAGCGCGAGUGCCUACGGUCUUGGUUUGGUCAGGCCGGGAACCCGCCCCGAGAGGGGAGGUUGGGGCUGUUCCUUCACGGGGGCAGUCUCGCCUACUGCGGGUUAACCGUGCCAAUCGUCUUCGUGCUGGGGAUCGGGGCUUGCAACUCAGCCCCGUGAACGAGGAAUUCCGAGUAGGCGUCCGUCAUCAGCUGGCGCCGAUUAAGUCCCUGCCUUUUGUACACACCGCCCGUCGCUACCUCCGAUAGAAUGGCUAAGCGAGGCCGUUGGACUGGGCCUGCUUUCGAGUGGGCCCGGAAAGGCGUUCGAGCUUAAUCAUUUAGAGGAAGUAAAAGUCGUAACAAGGUUUCCGUAGGUGAACCUGCGGAAGGAUCAUUA